GAGAUGGCAAAGCGGCUGAUUGCGACAGACUGAUAAUCUGUUAGUCCGAAAGGACUCGGGGUUCGAAUCCCUCUCUCA
rnacentral:tRNA from 1 species